GGUAAAUUUUCGACUCUUCGUUUUCUUCUUGGUUUUGGAGAGCACUUCCGUUGGCUGAGUUCGUCCGUCCCUUCGACGGUGUUCGGCAAUUUUCUCGGCUGUUGAGCGUGGCGGAUAUACCGGCGCAUCAAUGGCAGAUGGUGGCGAGUCUUGGCUUCGAUUAGAGAGGUUUGCUAGGGUGGCUGAUCGAGCAAAAUGACACAGUGGUGCACUUGACAUGGGGUGUUCGUCUCAUAUUUCUAAUGAGGAUGACGAUUUUGUCGAUGGGCCGGGAGAUCCUAUGUGCGAUGCUCCAGAUAUUGAUUUAACUGCAAAGGAACUGGAAAGGUCUCCUUUGUUUACCACCAAAGAUUGUUGGUUUUGUGCACUGUAUUGACAUCACCAUUUUGAUUUUGUUGUUGUUUCCCAUGGCAGUCCCUAGAAGUUGAUCAAUUAUAGGUUCUUUUUUUGUCAUUGUUGUUUUACCAUAUUAAUCAUUUAAUUGUGUUUGGUUUACAUUUCGUGGACACGAGUUUGCACUUUGCACUGUAUGACACACGUUAUAUACUAUUAUGGUACAUGUUAUAAACUGGUGUGGCACAAGUUUUAAAUUGUUAUAUGUAACUUAUUAUAAA